GUGUCAGCCGCCGCGGUAAUACGUAGGUGGCAAGCGUUGUCCGGAUUUACUGGGCGUAAAGCGCGCGCAGGCGGCUGGCCAAGUCUGAUGUGAAAGCUUCCGGCUUAACUGGAAAAUGGCAUCGGAAACUGGCCGGCUGGAAGGUGGGAGAGGGUAGCGGAAUUCCCGGUGUAGUGGUGGAAUGCGUAGAUAUCGGGAGGAACACCAGUGGCGAAAGCGGCUACCUGGCCCACUCUUGACGCUGAGGCGCGAAAGCUAGGGGAGCAAACGGGAUUAGAUACCCCGGUAGUCCUAGCCGUAAACGAUGAACACUAGGCGUUGUCGGUAUCGACCCCGGCAGUGCCGAAGCUAACGCAUUAAGUGUUCCGCCUGGGGAGUACGGCCGCAAGGCUAAA
rnacentral:rRNA from 1 species